ACGGGUCGGCGGACGGUCGCGUCGCGAAUGCUUGCAUUACGCGCCGAGGAACGUCCGGGCUCCGCAGGGGAGAACGGUGGGUAACACCCACCCGGGGCAACCCGCGAGAAAGUGCAACAGAGAGUAGACCGCCCAUCGAGGUUCGCUGAGAUGGGUAAGGCUGAAAGGGUGGUGUAAGAGACCACCGGCGCUCGUGGUAACACGAGCGGCCAGGUAAACCUCGUUCGGAGCAAGGCCAGACAGCAGAUGAUGACGCGCCCCGCCGAGUCUGCGGGUAGGCCGCUAGAGGGCACUGGCAACAGGGUCCCGAGAGAGAUGACCGUCACCGUGUUUACACGGGACAGAACCCGGCGUACAGCCGGCCCGUUCCA
rnacentral:RNase_P_RNA from 1 species